AGAUUAAAGAGUAAUGUCACAGAAGGGCUGCUAAAAUUGAAAAGAUCCAUCAGAUUAAUUACCGGGCUUAGAGGAGCUUGUCCGUUUAUUAGAAACAAAAGCCCUGGGCCACUUGCUAUUGAAAUUAUGAUAUCUUCUCCAACAUUUCCACUUGAUCUCGUACAAGCAAUCCGCAGGACGAAGUCAAACAGAGGCACGCGUGGCGCUGCCCGCAGCCAGCCAGCUCGUUAGCACCCACAUUCGUCUGCCUGCUCUGCAGCGCACGAGCCCUGGCUGCUUCCCCGUCCUCACAGAGACCGGCUGGUGCACGCACUGUUUGAAAUACUGCAUCAAUAUUUAUCAUAGCUUUUUGAGGAUAAGGAAUUUUUUAAUCUUAAAACCCCUGCCCUGGCGGGGAAGGAUAAAAUAAAUGCAUAAAUAAAAGAUCUAGGCAGUGAACCUUUUAACCCUGCAGCUCUAUUGAUUCAGGAGAGGAGAACUGGGAAGGAAGGCAAUAAAUAUUGGGGCUCCGGAUCCUAAAGCAGUGGUUCUGAAUUAAAAUCACCCGAGGUAGGAUCACCCUGCUCUUUGGAGUUCUCACCGUGCAAUUUUCCUUGUGUGGGGGUGGCAUGAGCGAUGUGCCAGUCCAACGCCACCGAAACAAAGGUGGAGAACAGCUACGAGAAGCAGAGAACCCCUCAAAAAUACAUUUCUGAUGAUAAAUGUCAAGGGUAUUGAAUUCACACCCGUAAGAAAGGUGGCAUUAAUUGGAGGUGCUGUACAAACACCUGCAGCAGUGGGGACAUCUCUGACAUGGGUGGCCAAGGAGAGGAACCGGCAGGAACUGACCACUGGCAUUUUGGAUUCAGGUGACUCCGGGAAUGGAAACUGACCCUUGGUGCCUGCAGCUCUGACAGCUGAGCACCGAGCGUGGGCCUGGCUUGCGAAUGCCGGGGGAGGAAUGCUCUGUAACGAGGUUCUCCCAGGAAAUGCACGGCUUCAGCUUUAUCACCUCCAGGAUUUGCAGCGCCUCGGUCUGAAAAUGUGUUGCCAUGUCUCCGGCCUCCGUGAUACAGCGGUCCUCCCAGCAGUAUCGUACAAGACCGGCUGCCAGCACCUGCAGCAGAUGACACGUCUUCACCUCGAACAGAAAUAAAUUGGACAAAAUCAUCCCCAGCU
rnacentral:lncRNA from 1 species